rnacentral:rRNA from 1 species
UACGGAGGGUGCAAGCGUUAAUCGGAAUUACUGGGCGUAAAGCGUGCGUAGGCGGUUCGUUAAGUCUGUUGUGAAAGCCCCGGGCUCAACCUGGGAAUGGCAAUGGAUACUGGCGAGCUAGAGUGUGUCAGAGGAUGGUGGAAUUCCCGGUGUAGCGGUGAAAUGCGUAGAGAAUCGGGAGGAACAUCAGUGGCGGAAGGCGGCCAUCUGGGACAACACUG